rnacentral:rRNA from 1 species
UACGGGGGGGAGCAAACGUUGUUCGGAAUCACUGGGCGUAAAGGGCGUGUAGGCGGCUGGAUAAGUGGGAUGUUAAAUCCCCCCGGCUCAACCGGGGACCUGCAUCUCAUACUGUUCAGCUCGAGCACAUCAGAGGAGACUGGAAUUCCCGGUGUAGCGGUGAAAUGCGUAGAUAUCAGGAGGAACACCAGUGGUGUAGACGGCGUUCUGGACGGUUACUGACGCUGAGAUACGAAAGCGUGGGGAGCGAACAGG